rnacentral:lncRNA from 1 species
GUUUGUUCAUCUUACUUUACUGAAUAUUCUAGCUGCUUACAAUUAUCUCUAUCUAUAAUCAGCUUGGCCCAGUAGUUUCAGAGAAGAUUUUUGUAAAAGAUUACUAAGAUUUACGAAAAAAUGGUUAAAACUUGACUCUAAAGGGCAAUAACUCUUAAAGGGGUCAACUGACAAUUUCGGUCAUGUUGACUUAUUUAUAGAUCUUACUUUGCCAACAUUUAUUGUAAUUUAAAGUUUAUCUCUAUCUAUAAUAAUAUUCAAGAUAAUAACCGAAAACAGCAAAAUUUCUUUAAAAUUACCAGUUCAGGGGCAGCAACCCAACAACAGGUUGUCUGAUUCAUCGGAAAAUUUCAGGGCAGAUAUAUUUUUACUUAAUAAACAAUUUUACUUCAUGUCAGAUUUCCUGUGCUUUGGUUUUUGAGUUAUAAGCCAACAACUGAAUUUUACCCCUUUGUUCUAUUUUUAACCGUGGCGACCAUCAUGGUUAGUUGACCGGGUCACGCCACACAUUUUUAAAACAAGAUACCCAAAUGAUGAUUGUGGCCAAGUUUGGUUUAAUUUGGC